rnacentral:rRNA from 1 species
UCCAGACUCCUACGGGAGGCAGCAGUGGGGAAUAUUGCACAAUGGGGGAAACCCUGAUGCAGCGACGCCGCGUGAGUGAAGAAGUAUUUCGGUAUGUAAAGCUCUAUCAGCAGGGAAGAAAUACUGACCAUAGGGUCAGCAGACGGUACUUGACUAAGAAGCCCCGGCUCACUACGUGCCAGCAGCCGCGGUAAUACGUAGGGGGCACGCGUUAUCCGGAUUUACUGGGUGUAAAGGGAGCGUAGACGGCAGCGCAAGGCAGAUGUGAAAGCCCGGGGCUCAACCCCGGGACUGCAUUUGAAACUGGCAGGCUGGAGUGCAGGAGAGGUAAGUGGAAUUCCUAGGGUAGCGGUGAAAUGCGUAGAUAUUAGGAGGAACACCAGUGGCGAAGGCGGCUUACUGGACUGUAACUGACGUUGAGGCUCGAAAGCGUGGGGAGCAAACAGGAUUAGAUACCCGCGUAC